ensembl:lncRNA TPT1-AS1 TPT1 antisense RNA 1
GAUUACAGGCACGCGCCACCACUCCCAGUUUACACCCCGCCACUCCUGAGCACCGCACACCGGCUUCCUCCCAGUCCCUCAUCUGAGAACUCAUGAAGCCACUUGGAAUCCCUCUCUGCUUUGCCUGGCUCAUUCCAUGUCAAUUUCAGAUCUUCACUUCAGGUCAGCUCCAAGGAGGCUAUCCUUGCCCAUCUUCCUAAAAUAGAGCUCUCAAAACCUGGCUGUUUUCCUUCAGAGCACUGGCCUCCAAUUGCUCCGGUAGAUUGCAAAUGACCUGCUUUCUUUCUGUUCCCGGGCGUUUGGACCCCUGUCUUGGACCGCUGUCGGAUAGUAAAUCCCAAGUAAGGUACCUGCCGUCGGCAGAUUUGAGCUUUCUUCUUGGACACCUAAUACCCAGAGUCCUCCAGGCUCCGGUAGAUUGCAAAUGACCUGCUUUCUUUCUGUUCCCGGGCGGCAUCGGACCCGUCGGAGAGUAAAUCCCAAGUAAGGUACCUGCCGUUGGCAGAUUUGAGCUUUCUUCUUGGACACCUAAUACCCACAGUCCUCCAGGCUCCGGUAGAUUGCAAAUGACCUGCUUUCUUUCUGUUCCCGGGUGGCAUCGACCCGUCGGAGAGUAAAUCCCAAGUAAGGUACCUGCCGUUGGCAGAUUUGAGCUUUCUUCUUGGACACCUAAUACCCACAGUCCUCCAGUAAAUCCCAAGCAAGGUACCUGCCGUCAGCAGAUUUGAGCUUUCUUCUUGGACACCUAAUACCCACAGUCCUCCAGGCUCCGGUAGAUUGCAAAUGACCUGCUUUCUUUCUGUUCCCGGGCUGCGUUCGGACCCCUGUCGGAUAGUAACUCCCAAAAAAACAAACAAAGACAUGGAUUUACUGUGCAUAUUAGCAGAUCCAUACUGGAAAAUGCAUGGAGGUUUCAUAUACACCACUUACAGAUGCAGAAAGGCAGUGAACUCCUCCGGAGUAGCUGUCAGGUCACCAUUGAGGUCUGCAGCUUUGAAUCUUCUCUCAUCACGUGGCAGCAUCUUUUUAAAGGUGUGAUGAUCUGAAGAAUCAUGAAACUCUGCGGGGUUUCCUAGGUUUUCAGCUCCUCAGUAGUGACAAAGCCAUACCCAUCAUUGUCGAUUCGAUCAACAAUCUUCCCUAGCCUCUCCUUGCUCUCGUCCGGGGUGAGCUCGUCGAAGUUCUUGGAGUCCUCCUUGCCCAGGAAGGCCUCGUGGUCGUACUGGAAGCUCUGGUUGUCCUCAGGGGGCCGCUCGCCCAGCUCCGAGUCGGGCCGCACCACGCGCUCUUUGCGCACCGUGGGCUUGGCCCGCAGAACCCGCGGCGCCAGCACCAGCGCCAGCAGCAGCCCCAGGGCUAACCCCAGGCGGCCACCGCGCGCCAUCGUCCCGAGGAGAGGGCGGCCGGGAGGGAGACGCUGAGCGAGCGACAACAGCGGCAGCUCGGGAAUGGGGGCUCGGAGCGCGGCGGCCAAGUUUUAUGUUAUGUAUAUUUUACAAGUAAAAAAAUUUUUUCACCUCAGCCUGAACUGAACACUAGCUGACAGACGUUUUGAUUUCUUUGACCAUCACGGAAUCGUGGCCAAGCGCGGUGGCUCACAUCUGUAAUCCCAACACUUUGGGAGGUCAAGAUGGGCGGAUUGCUUGAAUCCAGGUGUUUGAGAU